rnacentral:sRNA from 1 species
UCUUGAAAUGCAGAUUUUGAAGGACUGAUCACCCUGUCUUGGCAGAGUUUAUUAGUCAAACACCAGAAUGGGUAGAGGACACCAAGAAAACAAGCCAUUAGAUCAAUACCUGUUUCUGUUCAUGAGCGGAGUGUUAGCCUGACUCUCUAUCCACCAUUUCCCUCGCUACAGGAGCUGGGAACUGCAGUAAGUUGAGAAAUUUUCCUCUUGCCGUGUCUUCCACCCAACAGAGAUGAGCUUUUCAGAGAUGUGUGCUUCUUAGUCCCAAAGGUGCACGAUGUCUUGAUCUGAAUGGGGGAAAAGUCAGAAAAUUCUCUUCCAGAGCAGCUGGCCCUCGAUUGCCUGGUGAUAGAUUUUAAACCCACAGAGGUGCACAUUAUUUUCUUCCACUUGACCCAGGAACUGGUUCAGCUUUAAAGGGAACUGGGAGGCACUUGCCACAGGAAAACAGAUCUGCUGAGUGUCUGCCGCACUCCCAAACCCCUCCACUGUGCCUUCCACGCCCUAUGUUACAAAGGAAGUGCGUGUGAUCCCAGCGCUUAGAGGUUUUGGCAGGGAGAUUACCGAGGAAGGCAGGCCCACCAUCUCCUGGUCCUGUAUGUGACCAGUUUUCAUUCUGCUUCGUGGUGUAUCUCGGGGGUGCCCAGUGGAGUCAGAGUUAUCUACCUCUGGAGCUGGGACCUAGUCUCCUAAGUUCUGCUUUGGCUUUCAGGACCUCUCUCUCCAACAAUAGUUAUUCUUGACAGUUUUCAUAAUAAAAUAAAUCGAAAAGACGGAA